AUUCACUCUCAUCUGAUUUUUUAAGACCAUUCAAAGUGUUCUCUCAAUAUUCAACCUCAAGAACACCAAGGAAAACUUGGAGGCUAAGUCUUGGUCUAGGAAGUAUUUUCCCUAAGUUGGUUAGGGUUUUUGAAAGGUUUUGGAGGAGCCAAAGCUAAUAGGAAGGUCCAAACCUUAAGCAAGAACACCAAAGAGGUAAGUGCAAGGGCAAGGCAGAGCAGUGAGCGCUGGAGUCUUCCUUGCAAAUGUACAUGUGGACCGACCUUUUGGGAAGCCUUUUUAUUUUUGGAAAUGUUGUGUAAUUUUCCUAAACUAGGCUCACUCUAAUCUUUAUAAAACAUGUUUGUAAUUAAAUGUUAAGUAUGGCCAUACGACUUUUUAAAAAGUUUUUUUUUCUAUGGGUUUUUGAGACAUUUUGUUAAAUGAAAACAUUUAUAUUUCCGCAUUA